GUGGGGAAUCUUGCGCAAUGGGCGAAAGCCUGACGCAGCCAUGCCGCGUGGAUGAUGAAGGUCUUAGGAUUGUAAAAUCCUUUCACCGGUGAAGAUAAUGACUGUAGCCGGAGAAGAAGCCCCGGCUAACUUCGUGCCAGCAGCCGCGGUAAUACGAAGGGGGCUAGCGUUGCUCGGAUUUACUGGGCGUAAAGGGCGCGUAGGCGGACAUUUAAGUCAGGGGUGAAAUCCCGGGGCUCAACCUCGGAACUGCCUUUGAUACUGGGUGUCUUGAGUAUGGGAGAGGUGUGUGGAACUCCGAGUGUAGAGGUGAAAUUCGUAGAUAUUCGGAAGAACACCAGUGGCGAAGGCGACACACUGGCUCAUUACUGACGCUGAGGCGCGAAAGCGUGGGGAGCAAACAGGAUUAGAUACCGUGUAGUCC
rnacentral:rRNA from 1 species